UACAGAGGGGGCAAGCGUUAUUCGGAAUUAUUGGGCGUAAAGGGCGCGUAGGCGGCUUGGCAAGUGGAUGGUGAAAUCCCUCGGCUUAACCGAGGAACUGCCGUCCAAUCUGCUUAGCUUGAGACCGGGAGAGGUGAGUGGAAUUCCCAGUGUAGCGGUGAAAUGCGUAGAUAUUGGGAGGAACACCAGUGGCGAAGGCGGCUCACUGGACCGGUACUGACGCUGAGGCGCGAAAGCGUGGGGAGCAAACGGG
rnacentral:rRNA from 1 species